AACGAACGCUGGCGGCGUGGAUAAGACAUGCAAGUCGAACGCUGAUUUCAAGGUAGCAAUAUUUUGAAGUUGGAGUGGCGCAAGGGUGUGUAACACGUGGGUAAUCUGCCGUGAAGCCUGGGAUAACUUGCUGAAAGGCGAGCUAAUACCGGAUGUGAAAAUCGGAAGGCAUCUUUUGAUUUUCAAAAGUUGGGGACCGCAAGGCCUGACGCUUUAUGAUGAACCCGCGGCCUAUCAGCUAGUUGGUGAGGUAAUAGCUCACCAAGGCUAAGACGGGUAGCUGGUCUGAGAGGACGACCAGCCACACU
rnacentral:rRNA from 1 species